GACGAACGCUGGCGGUGUGCUUAACACAUGCAAGUCGAACGGUAAGGCCCUUUCGGGGGUACACGAGUGGCGAACAGGUGAGUAACACGUGAGUAACCUGCCCUCAUCUCUGGGAUAACAGUCGGAAACGGUUGCUAAUACUGGAUAUGAGCUUGCAAGGCAUCUUGUGGGUUGGAAAGAUUUUUUUGGUUGGGGAUGGACUCGCGGCCUAUCAGCUUGUUGGUGAGGUAGUGGCUCACCAAGGCUUCGACGGGUAGCCGGCCUGAGAGGGCGACCGGCCACAUUGGGACUGAGAUACGGCCCAAACUCUUACGGGAGGCAGCAGUGGGGAAUAUUGCACAAUGGACGGAAGUCUGAUGCAGCAACGCCGCGUGCGGGAUGACGGCCUUCGGGUUGUAAACCGCUUUCAAUUGUGACGAAGCUUUUUGUGACGGUAGCAGUAGAAGAAGCACCGGCUAACUACGUG
rnacentral:rRNA from 1 species